GACGAACGCUGGCGGCGUGCCUAAUACAUGCAAGUCGAACGCAGUGGGGACGGGUGAGUAACACGUGGGUAACCUCGCAUCAGAGGGGAUAACCCUUGGAAACAAGUGCUAAACCGAUACUGAUUGAUCGACCCGCGGUGCAUUAGCUAGUUGGUGACGUAACGGCUCACCAAGUCCACGAUGCAUAGCCGAGCUGAGAGUGUGAUCGGCCACACUGGGACUGAGACACGGCCCAGAAUCCUACGGGAGGCAGCAGUGGGGAAUAUUGCACAAUGGGCGCAAGCCUGAUGCAGCCAUGCCGCGUGUAUGAAGAAGGCCUUAGGGUUGUAAAGUACUUUCAGCGGGGAGGCGUUACCAGCAGAAGAAGCACCGGCUAACUCCGUGCCAGCAGCCGCGGUAAUUC
rnacentral:rRNA from 1 species